rnacentral:tRNA from 1 species
GUCCCAGUAGCUCAAUGGCGGAGCACUUAUAGUGGUUAUAUAAACUGUAGCUCAGGCGGCUGUUAAUCACAGCAAACCAUUGACUAGACACCGCGCGGUUCUAGGUUCGACCCCUGGCUGGGACG